rnacentral:rRNA from 1 species
UACGGGGGGGGCAAGCGUUGUUCGGAAUUACUGGGCGUAAAGGGCUCGUAGGUGGCCAACUAAGUCAGACGUGAAAUCCCCCGGCUUAACCUGGGAACUGCGUCUGAUACUGGGAGGCUUGAGUAUGGGAGAGGGAUGUAGAAUUCCAGGUGUAGCGGUGAAAUGCGUAGAUAUCUGGAGGAAUACCGGUGGCGAAGGCAGGUCUCUGGGCUGACACUGACGCUCAUGCACGAAAGCGUGGGGAGCAAACAGG